rnacentral:rRNA from 1 species
UAAUAUUCCCGUACUUGGUGUUACUGCGAAGGUGGGACGGAGAAGGCUAUGUUGGCCGGGCGACGGUUGUCCCGGUUUAAGCGUGUAGGCUGGUUUUCCAGGCAAAUCCGGAAAAUCAAGGCUGAGGCGUGACGACGAGGCACUACGGUGCUGAAGCAACAAAUGCCCUGCUUCCAGGAAAAGCCUCUAAGCAUCAGGUAACACGAAAUCGUACCCCAAACCGACACAGGUGGUCAGGUAGAGAAUACCAAGGCGCUUGAGAGAACUCGGGUGAAGGAACUAGGCAAAAUGGUGCCGUAACUUCGGGAGAAGGCACGCUGACAUGUAGGUGAAGUGAUUUACUCAUGGAGCUGAAGACAGUCGAAGAUACCAGCUGGCUGCAACUGUUUAUUAAAAACACAGCACUGUGCAAACACGAAAGUGGACG